rnacentral:rRNA from 1 species
GACGAACGCUGGCGGCGUGCUUAACACAUGCAAGUCGAACGGGAUCCACUGGGCUUUUGUUUGUUGGUGAGAGUGGCGAACGGGUGAGUAAUGCGUGACUAACCUGCCGUAUGGUUGGGGAUAGCUCCUGGAAACGGGUGGUAAUACCCAAUGCUCCAGCUGGAUGCAUGUCUGGUUGGGAAAGCUUUUGUGCCAUAUGAUGGGGUCGCGUCCUAUCAGCUUGUUGGUGGGGUGAUGGCCUACCAAGGCGUCGACGGGUAGCCGGCCUAAGAGGGCGACCGGCGACAUUGGGACUGAGAUACGGCCCAGAGUGCUACGGGAGGCAGCAGUGGGGAAUAUUGCACAAUGGGCGCAAGCCUGAAGCAGCGACGCCGGGUGCGGGAUGGAGGCCUUCGGGUUGUAAACCGCUUUUAUAGGGGGGCAAGCUAUGCCUGUGUGGUGUGGUGAGUGGACUUUAUGAAUAAGCACCGGCUAACUACGUG